rnacentral:lncRNA from 1 species
GCAUGCAUUUAUACAAUGCUAAUAUGCCCGUAUGCACAUACACAUAUGCAUCAACAAGAUUCCAUAUUUCGCUUUGACAUGCGGGGCGACCAAGUCGCUUCGGUAAACACAACCCAUCUCAUUUCGCAUUCCGAUUGCUUGUCGACACUUGCAGUCGGCCUCCCGCGGCACCCGGCACUCGGUUUGGCCCGAUCUCCUGCGCGACCACCCGAACGGCCUCCAAUCCACGAUCCGAAAAUUAAAGGUCUUCGGUUAUGUGCCACGAUGCUUCAAAUCCGUUUUCAUGGGUUUACGAUGUCGCCUCGGCCCUCCAGGCGGAAACGAAGCCUAAACGUCCGUUUCUUUAAUAACUUUGCAACGGCUCGACGAAUCGCCGAACCGUCUUCGCCAAUGCAUUCGUUUACCUAGCAAUUAGGUUUAUGGAGGGUCAAAUGAGAUCAAACCCUUAUAUUUACAAAACUAGUAUUUUGAACCCUAGGUUUACUACUAGGUAAAAACCCACCAUUAGAGCCUCGGUUUCAAGCAUCAAACCUCUAAUUAGCAUGCUAGAAUACCUCUAAAUCCACUCUUAGAGCUUAAAAACCAAACUAGAGAGAAAUGCCAUUAAAGGUUUGAAGCUUACCUUCAAAGCUUGCUCUAAUGGAGAGGAAGAAGAUAAAGAAGAUGAAGAUCAACUUCCAAGCUUGCUUCUCCACCAAAACCUUUAAUUUUGGAAGAGAUCUAGAGAGAGAAAAGGAGUUUUCUCUCUUUCCCUUUCCUUGCGUGUGUGUGUGUGUCGUGUGCGUGUGUGGUG